rnacentral:rRNA from 1 species
GACGAACCGUCCAAACGUUAUUCGGAAUCACUGGGCUUAAAGGGUGCGUAGGCGGUGCUGUAAGUUGGGUGUGAAAUCCCUCGGCUCAACCGAGGAAUUGCGCCCAAUACUGCAGUACUAGAGGGAGACAGAGGUGAGCGGAACUUGUGGUGGAGCGGUGAAAUGCGUUGAUAUCACAAGGAACACCUGUGGCGAAAGCGGCUCACUGGGUCUUUUCUGACGCUGAGGCACGAAAGCUGGGGGAGCGAACGGGAUUAGAUACCCCGGUAGUCCCAGCUGUAAACGUUGAGCACUAGUCCGGAGGACCCCCCAUAGUUUUCCGGACGUAGCGAAAGUGUUAAGUGCUCCGCCUGGGGAGUAUGGUCGCAAGGCUGAA